GCCCCACCGCAGUGGCACUGGCCUGAGCUGCUGCCUCCUGCCACCAGCACCUUUUCAUUUGCAAAGACUAAACCCUGCUUGACAGCUGGGAAAGUGAAGCUUGUGCUGAUUCCUGUGGCACAAGUAGGAAACGCUUUCCAGAGUGUGGAACAGCCCUGUCCAGCUGCAGUUGCUAUUGGAGAAACACAAACCCCCUCCAGUUUCUGCUGGAUCUCUAUUCUUUAUGUACAACUGGAGAGUCUACGACAAUAUCCAACGUCAUGUGUGAGCUGAACCUGCCUGCCAACAGGAGCUUAUCAAACACAGUGUUUAACACUGAAUUUAUCAAACACCGUGUUUCUUAACAUUUCUGUCCUUGAUCACCUCAACCUGCAGGACAGAACUUCUGCUGUUUUCUUACCUCAUGAAAACAAAUGCAAAAUACAAACAGCAGCAAUUCAGGGAGAAUGUUCAUGUUACAAGACUUGGCAGAACUAUAGAGUUUGGGUGUUUCUGGAUCAGAACACUGAAGUCUAAAUAAAAAUAGAAUGUUGUUGGGGAAGGGGUUUUUGAUUUAGGCAACAUUU